GCAUUCUGUGGGAUAGUUCCUCGGGUAGAGGAGAAUUGAUCACGUGAUCGGCUAGUUGUGUUGUUUGUGGCGUCAGAUAUAACCCAAUCCCUAAUCUGUGGCGUCAGAUAUAAGCCUAAUCCUUAAUCUAACCCUUACCCUAACCCUUACCCUAACCCUAACCCUUACCCUAACCCCAACACUAAUCACUGUACUGAUGAC